UUUUUAUCAAUGUUACAAUUGAAAUCAUUUAGGUACUCAUACUUCCACGCGUUUAACAUUGUUAAUCAUUUCAUUUUUCAAUUUUUCCAAAUUAUAGUUUUUAAAAUCUGAACAUUCUGGUACUUCAUAGGUACUAGAAUAUAGGUACAUAUGGUUGAUUCCUUAAAAUAUCUUGGUUAUAGUGUUUGAUUUGUAGGGGAGGGACACAAUAGGUAGGUAAUUAUUUUUUCAGACAUUUUAGCAUACCUCUAUUACUGAUUUGCUUUAUGUUGUA